GAUGAGCCUGCGUUGGAUUAGCUUGUUGGUGAGGUAAAGGCUCACCAAGGCGACGAUCCAUAGCUGGUCUGAGAGGAUGAUCAGCCACACCGGGACUGAGACACGGCCCGGACUCCUACGGGAGGCAGCAGUGGGGAAUAUUGCG
rnacentral:rRNA from 1 species